GACGAACGCUGGCGGCGUGCUUAACACAUGCAAGUCGAACGGUGAAGCGCCUUCCUUUUUGGUGGGUGUGGAUGAGUGGCGAACGGGUGAGUAACACGUGAGUAACCUGCCCCCUUCUUCUGGAUAACCGCAUGAAAGUGUGGCUAAUACGGGAUAUUCUGGGUCUGUCGCAUGAUGGGUCUGGGAAAGAUAUUGUUUCGGUGGGGGAUGGGCUCGCGGCCUAUCAGCUUGUUGGUGGGGUGAUGGCCUACCAAGGCGGUGACGGGUAGCCGGCCUGAGAGGGUGGACGGUCACACUGGGACUGAGACACGGCCCAGACUCCUACGGGAGGCAGCAGUGGGGAAUAUUGCACAAUGGGCGCAAGCCUGAUGCACCGACGCCGCGUGAGGGAUGGAGGCCUUCGGGUUGUGAACCUCUUUCGCCAGUGAAGCAGGCCUGCCUCGUUUGUGGGUGGGUUGACGGUAGCUGGAUAAGAAGCGCCGGCUAACUACGUG
rnacentral:rRNA from 1 species